AUCGCGGACUUCAGAGCCUGCCUGGAGCGCGCACUCAGCGGCUCUCCGGGUCCAGCGUCCCAGCCGCGGCCCGCGCCCCACACCUCCUCCUCCUCCUCUCCGAGCACCCCUCUUCCCCUCCUGCCAGAAGCUGCCUCCAGCCCCAUCUCGGCUACAUCCCCAACUCUCCGGGCUCUCUCCUGGGACGCGCGUCCUCGCCCCAUCCUUUCUUCCUUCCUUCCUUCCUCCCCUGGCGCCCGCCCUCCCUCUCCAGGUCUCCCUCCCGGGGCCCGAUUGUCUCCGUCUCCUCUCGCUCGGCCCGCGCCCUCGCCCUGCCCCGACUCUCCCUCGCACUUCCUGAGUCGCCCAGCGCCGCAGUCUCGCCGCGCCCCGGCAGCCGCUGCCCCGCUCCAGCCCCCGCAGCCCGCGGCGCCCGCCGAGGGAGCCCCGGCGCCCGCGGAAGGCAGAAGUGGGCGCGCGCCCUCGCCCAGCCCCGCGUCCCAGCCCUGCCCGGCGACGAAGGACCGGGAAGAUGAACAACGGCGGCAAAGCCGAGAAGGAGAACACCCCGAGCGAGGCCAACCUUCAGGAGGAAGAGGUCCGGACCUUGUUUGUCAGUGGUCUUCCUCUGGAUAUCAAACCUCGGGAGCUCUAUCUGCUUUUCAGACCAUUUAAGGGCUAUGAGGGUUCUCUUAUAAAACUCACAUCUAAGCAGCCUGUAGGCUUUGUCAGUUUUGACAGUCGCUCAGAAGCAGAAGCUGCAAAGAAUGCUUUAAAUGGCAUCCGCUUCGAUCCUGAAAUUCCGCAAACACUACGACUAGAGUUUGCUAAGGCAAACACGAAGAUGGCCAAGAACAAACUAGUAGGGACUCCAAACCCCAGCACUCCUCUGCCCAACACAGUACCUCAGUUCAUUGCCAGAGAGCCAUAUGAGCUCACAGUGCCUGCACUUUACCCCAGUAGCCCUGAAGUGUGGGCCCCGUACCCUCUGUACCCAGCGGAGUUAGCGCCUGCUCUACCUCCUCCUGCUUUCACCUAUCCCGCUUCACUGCAUGCCCAGUGUUUCUCUCCUGAGGCAAAGCCCAACACACCUGUCUUUUGUCCACUUCUCCAGCAAAUUAGAUUUGUCUCUGGGAAUGUGUUUGUAACAUAUCAACCUACUGCAGACCAGCAGAGGGAGCUCCCAUGUUGAAUUUGUUUGUUAACUAUUUUUCUCCCCUUUUGCAAAAACUUUCUUGGCGACGCUUGAGAGAUUUCAAUAAAAAUUUUAAUCAGAGCAAAAAUGGUCUCCAGUAGACUGCAGCGUUUUGUUUUUGUGGCAAUGCAAUUUUGGAACUAAAGUGUUACUCUAAGAUUUUGGGAGAAGUGGGCCCAGGCUGCUAAGUAUACCUUACAUAGGAGAAGACUCACAGAGAGCAUCCUGGGGAGGCCAGACGUCGAGCCUCACACUGCUGCCGCCUGCCUCUUCUCGGCGAGAGCUGCCUACUGGAAGAUUCUCGCUUGGACCUCCAUGAGUCAUCCUCCGGGAGAUCUCGCUUCAGCAGGGAUGGUGUAUCUAGCUAGUGGAAGUACAUAUGAAACAAAUGGAUACAUUUUCCAGCCUGCCCACUGUGAUCCAGAGAAAAGAAGACCUGGGAGACAGAAACUGUCAUUGAAAUGGAGUUGAGUCACAUGUGUAACCCUGACCCAGUUUCACUUGUGGUUUGGUGCCCCUUCAAAUUCCCCAGCUCUAAAUUGAACAUAUUUAUUUGCUAUCAGAUCCCAUUUUUUAGAAGUUAUUGGAUAAGGUAAUAGAACUUAAAGCCCUAGUACUGCUUUCUUUUAGAGAUUAAAGAGCGAAACUGUGCAGCACACCUGUGAUUUCUAAGAUAAUAUUUUAGAAGUGAUUAUCUGGUAUUUGAAGUUUAUUAAAUACUGUUUAUUAUGUAAGCCACUCUGGAUAAGACAGGAAAGUUAUAGUCCGAAGAGUACACAGCUCUUCCUGGCUCAUAUUCACACACCUCCAGAGGCUUUUUAAGUCUGGGUUCCAUUUUUCCUUUUAGUCUUAUUGCUGACGGGGCAGGGAGAAAACUCAUGAGAAAAUCACUAAAGUGUGCUGUCCUCACCCCAUUCUAGAAAUACAGCAUUUGCCCUUUACUAGAGUCAGAGACACAAUGUCUGCCCAGAAACUUGCAGGUAAGUAGGACUAAUUAAGUCCUGGUUACCUGUUUUCUGUUUUAAAGGCUUCAUCUGCCCUCGGUAACAGUGGUUCUCUCAGGAUUCAUAUACAUGCCUAUACGUAAACAGUUUAAAAAUCAUUGCACAGACUUCCUGGGGGCAGGCGUGCAUGCCUCUUGGGAGAUCCCUUAUGACACACUGGAAAAUUUUUAAAGGUUAAACUCAAAAUAAAUACAGAAAUGAAUCAUGGGAAAAGAGACAUGGGCAAACAGGCCCAGGAGAUCACAAAGGCACAGAUGGCCUACAAAAAGUGUGUGAGCUGCCUAACUGAAGGACUGACCCAGGAUGCAACUUCUGAGAACUGGAUUUUAAAACAUUUUUUUAAUCGGGGACUUACAUGGCAAGGGCUCCUAUUUUCCAGCUCUCCUGCUUAUUUGGGAGGCAGUAGCCAAAGCCAUAAGUGUGGUUGGCCUGUUCGGGAACCUGUGAACAGAACCAUCUCUGGGACCUGUGGAAGGUAGGGUCCAUACCUCACCAAGUGCUGGCCUGCCUCCCAAAGGCGAGGAAUCAGGAGAUUGUAGUUCUUUGCUUCUGUGGAUCCCAGAUCACAUUAGCACUUAACCCAUGACUUCCUUGAACUUGAGGCAUGGUUUUUCCAGAGGCGUAUUGUCUUCUUCCAGACCUAAGGUUUUUGACUGUAUGGAAUACCCCCGUGUUGGAGGACUACAGAGGUUACCUUUGGGGCUGUUCUGCCCAAGGCUUUAGGUUGUUUUCAAACAUAUAUGAAAGUAUUAAUCCUCAGACAUUUACCUUUCCUUAAAACCCUGUAGUUCUCUGAAUGUCAGACUAAGAAAAAACUGCCUCGGAGUGUUACAUCUCCUGAAAGUGCCAGUCUUGCCUGCCUUCCUGUUUUGUGAGGCUUUCUAGGAGCACCUAGGUUAGCUCUCCUAGGAGAUGGGGCAGGGUGGGCAGGCAUUGUGCUGGCAACACCAGCCUUCUGUGAGUUCCAUACCUGCCCCACGAGGCAGGGGGCUGUGAACUAACCCCUUUGGGAGACCUUUGAGAUGCUGCUUUUCCUUUCUGAGUCCGAAAGUGGUGGAGGUGUGGGAAUACAGACUCCAGCUACCUGGUCAGACACAGGCUCUGCCACGUACAAGUUGUCUAACCUUGAUUGAGUGAGGUCCUUAACCUCUCUUGACAUCAGGGAAAUGGGGUUAUUAAUAUCAUGUAGAAGAAUUUACAAGAGUGGCUAGCAUAAAGUAAGGGAUUAGUAAAGGUUUACUUUAAACAAAAAAAGAAUCUUUGGGCGGUGCCUGUGGGCUUGGUGAGUAGGGUGCCGGCCCCAUAUACCAAGGGUGGUGAGUUCAAACCUGGCCCUGGCCAAACUGCAACAAAAAAAUAGCCUGUAGUCCCAGCUACUCCGGAAGGUGAGGUAAGAGAAUCACCUAAGCCCAAGAGCUGGAGGUUGCUGUGAGCUGUGAUGUGACAGCACUCUACCGAGGGUGACAAACUGAAACCCUGUCGCUAAAAAAAAAAGAAGAAGAAUCGUUCCUUUUAAUUUACCUUUAAGAGCAAUAUGAAUUUUCAGCAAGGAAAAGGAAGCCCAGGACUAAGCCAGCCUACCCACAAGGCAGUGGUAGCUCAAACAUGUAGCACACUGUAUAGCACAUUUGGACAACACUAAUAGGGGCUGCAGAGCCUGGCUAUAGCCAAAUGGAAAGCCAGAGUCUGGAGGAAUGCAUGAAGGACAGAGAGUUAAAUGAGGCAUUUAAGUGACAGAGUGCCACCUACAUUACCAAGUGACAGCAUCUGCCCUGCAGCGACACAGUGGUGCCAGCAUUGGAGGAAUUUUCCUCCAGGCUAGGCCAGGACAUGCCUGCCAGAAGAAAACCUACCUUGACAGGAUACGGUCCAGAGUGAGAAGCAGUUAAAAUCCCAGAGAAACGGAACAGCCCUGUGGUUUGCUUUAUACCAGCGGUUCUCAAGCUAUGGGUCGUGACCCCUCUGUAACAAUGAAAAUAUAUUGCAGCAUUAGGAAGGUUGAGAACCAAUGCUUUAUGCAAACCCGCUAUUGCUGAACUUUCCAGCUGCUGCCUUAUCUUGCUUUCCCAUCAGAAACUGGAGAAGAGAAAAAGACCCACAGGUCAUUGGCCUGUUCCUCCCUAGUCUCUGGUACUUUCUUCCCAUAGUUGUUCUAUUAGGGUUCCCCUCAGUCUUGUUUCCAGGCAGGGGGGUUAGCAUACAUUCUGUGCUGUGGAAGACUCCCUUCGUAGUCCCGUGACUCUUAGCCAAGCAGAUUCUUUCUCUGAGCCCUUCAUCUGCCGAGGAGUCCCGUACUCAAUAAGGCAGUGAGAGACAUUUAUUUACCUUGUUACCUGGCCUCUUUAGAACCUAGCAAUCCAGAAUCAGUCAUCCAGAGGUGUUGGGUUAGAGCUGUUGCUAUUGAAGCCCAGACUGGCCUGUUGGCUCUGGCCAAGGUCACUGAUCUCAAAAAGACUUAGAAACCACAGUACUUUUGCCACGUUUGGAGAAAUUGCUCAGAGUGGGCCUCGGUUACCCACUCUGAGCCCUGUUCUCCACGUUUCUUACGUGGGUUCUGUUUUGUCCUCUGUAAGGCUAAACUCCCUACAUCCUAUGUGAGUACCCCCAACCUCGUUAGCAGUAAGUCCCCACCCUGAGUCUCGGUGAGUGGCACCUGUAUGUACUGUUUGUGAGCUCACCUCCUCCUGGGAUUAAAAAAAUGUGUGGGGUGGCGCCCAUAGCUCAGUCAGUAGGGCACCGGCCACAUACACCUAGGGUGGCAGGUUCGAACCUAGCCCAGUCCUGCUAAGCAACAAUGACAACUGCAAACAACAACAAAAAAAGCCAGGCGUUGUGGCGGGUGCCUGUAGUUCCAGCCACUUGGGAAGCUAAGGCAAGACAAUUGCUUAAGCCCGAGAGUUUGAGGUUGCUAUGAGCUGUGAUGUCAUAGCACUCUACUGAGGGUGACGACUUGAGACUCUCUCAAAAAAAAAAAAAAAAAUGGUCCAGUUGUCACCAUAGGGUGGUGCAGAGGGCCUGGAACCUAAUUGGGACUCAGUGUUUUUAAAUCUGACAAAGAUUUUAAUGAGUUUUUGCCCACACUGCUACCUUUGAGAUUUUAGGCAAGGUUUUUUUUAUUGUUUUGUUUUGGUUUUUUUAUCUCACUGAGCCUCCGUGUUUCCUCAGCUAUAAAUUAGAAGAAUAAACACCUGCUUCAUGGAGUUACUUUGCAUUCAAAAGUAAAAUGUUGGGCAGAAAUUAGUAGUGACAACUAUGACAGCAGCUCCUCCAUCACCUUCCCUUGUCAGAAUUGACCUGGCUCAGGGGUUCCUGGCCCUCCGUACAAUCUUCAGAAGCACUUAGGAUACAGGCACUCCAGACCAGGACCCUGAUGACAGAGGUGCCUGGGCUUGGUAAAUAGGAGAAGUGGCUGGAGCCAGGGCAGGUAUGGUCUGCAGCUUGUGGCACGUAUUGAGAAGUGCCUCUGUGGGUCAGCUGGCCAUCCAUGCAGGCUUUUUGGCCUCCUUCCCUAGGCUUAGGCACCCAAAUGCCAUCCACAAAUAUGUGAAUUCUAACUGCUUUGGAAACAAAACCAAGGCUGCGAAGAAACUUUGGAACUGUAGUCUUUAUGCUUGUGUGAAAGGAGAAAGUGAACUUUCACUUGAAGAAAACCAAUUGUGAUGGGGGAUGGGGAGGGAACUCAACUCCAAAUGGGAUCAUGUUUUAUUCAGGAUUUGUGCUGCCAGUAGGGAGCACCCGAACCCAAUGACAGGAUGGGAAAGUGGGACGCCCCAACUUAAGCUUCAUGCAUUCUGCCACAAAGUUCCACUUGCUUCACUGAGCUCAGCUCCUGGGGACCUCUAAUGGCCCUUGAUAGCAAACAUGGUUAAAAAUUAACAGACUGACAAAAUUAAAUAUGGAUGACAGGCAACCACUGUGGACUUAAUCUGACACAGGGUGUUACACGCUUGGGUGCCCUUAACCCGAGUGGCGUCUUAAAGAACUUCUAAGAUGUCUGAGCACAUUUCACAAGCCUGUUGUGCUUAAGACAGACAAAGAGUCUAAAAGCCCAGGAGAAAAAAAUUCUCCCUAAAAGUAUGUUUAAUUAAACCAGCCUUGAUUGGUCUUGGCAGGAGGAGUUCACAGUCCCAGGACCUUGUUCUUGCCGUCUGGAUCUUAUGCCUGCCUUGGCUUGGACUCCGCACCGCCCUGCCGGGAGAUCUGCAAAGACAGUGGUUCUCAACCUUCCUAAUGCCAUGAUCUUUAAAGCAGUUCCUCAUGUUGUGGUGACCCCCAACCAUAAAAUUAUUUUCGUUGCUUAACAGUGAAACAUGACGAACUGUAUUAAAGGGUCACGGCAUUAGGAAGGUUGAGAACCAUUGUUUAAGAGCACAUGGCUGGGGUGGUCAUGGCCUUCUCCAGCCAGGCCUUUUUUGCUCACCUUUUCUCCAGCUGUUGUGGUAGGUGAGAUGGCAGACGUCCCCUUUGAACCCAGUCACAUAAUUCUGAACAUUUUGCCUAGAACCUUAGGGGUAUUUUUGUAUCGUAAAUCAUUACUUCAGCCUAUUUGGUGAAUUUGGAGUUUCUUGAACCACAUAUGCUUGGGGCAGCUUGUCAACAUGGCAGGCUCUGACAGAGCUUGCCUUGUAGGGCCUGAGACACUAUUUGGUGACUCUACCCAAGAGUGGGUCCUGAGGUAUAGUAAAUCAGCAUGAGUGGCCCGCUGCAGACGGCUCCGUGUUGGAAAAGUGUCUCCACCAGGUAUUCAGGGCUUCAUUUGGGGGAGAGUGGUAGAACCUGCUUGAGAAUAUCCAUGCCUUGAAAUCCAAUUAGUCCGUUUGUUUGAGAUAACAUACAGUUCACAUAAACAGUUGAAAUUAACUGCUUGUAACUGUUUGUCAAAAGAGGGAUAUCUUAGUUCUGAAUAUGGUGCUGGAGAAAUCUGCAGUCAUAUCUAGCACCUGUGUUAGGAAAGGCGAGAGAAAAAUCUUAGCUUUUCCCUGUAGACUAGACAUCCAGGGCACCAGCUGCUGUGAUCUUCCAGCCCUCUUAUUUUUAUUAGGAGCCACAUUGGCUCACCUCAGCCUCUUAGACUCACCAAAUGUUAACUACUGGAAGGCUGUCCAGACCAGCAUUUUUACCACCCACAGGUAUUAAUAGUCGUUACAUAUUAAAAAGAUUCUGCAGUCAGAUAAACUUGGGAAAUCCAGAGCUAAAUCAGGUCACACAGGUUUCUUUAUUUUGGAACUUCUCAGAGCCUUUAAAUGUGCUGAUACUUAUCAAGAAUCUGCUGCUGGGGACAGAGCACGCAUUUCUCUCACAUGUAUUAACUGUGGAGCAUCUCUGUCUUUUUCUGGCCAUACUUCUGAGAACCUUAAUUAAGAGCAGUGUCUCCCAGACUGGUGUAUGUGCAAGGGGAGGGCUUGUUAAAUGCAGAUUGGACCCUGCCCCUAGAGUUUCUGCAUUUCUCACAAAUUCCCAGGGGAUGCUGAUGGUCCAGGAACCACACUUUGAGAAUCACUGGUCUAGACUUAGCCCUUUAUUCCACAGAGAAGAAAAUAGUCACGCCAAAGGGUAUUUACUAACAACAGUAACCACAAAUUGAGCUGGUCACCUGCUAAUCACGCCUCAUGACUGUUUCAAUGUGAUAAUGAAAUCCAGUCACUAGAAAGGAGCUAGUACAAGGCAAAUAACACUUUCACUGCUUUAUGUUGCGUUACUCAAACAAAGGAUGGGGAUCAGAGUGGGGUUCCACCCCAAAGACUAGUCAAAGUCUUUCUGUCCUUGGCAGCAGUGUUCAGAAAUAAAUUCUGUGUGUAUUUUAAUCCUCUAGGCCUUAGUUUUUCUCAUCUAUAAAUGGAAGAGGAUGGAAAUUAUUUUUAUGGAUACUUUUUCUCUAGCAUUCCAUUUUAUUUUUGCUCCGAGUUUUUCUGGGUGUAUCUCAUGCUCUGCUACUUUAAUCUGUUACCACAUUAAGGUGUUGGAGACGGACAGUGUUAACACGGCAGGAGCACUGCAUUUUAAAAGAGCAUUCCUGAAGAGACGUGGUAAAAUCUAAAACAGUAAGGAGUAGGGCUCCAGCCCCAUAUGCCAGAGGUGGCUGGUUCAAACCCAGCCCCUGCCAAAAACUGCAAAAAAAAAAAAAAAAAUCUAAAACAGUGCAUCUCCUGGGUAGUGAGUUGUAAUAGUAAUAAUAACUAUUACUAAGUUCUCGUGGAGAAUAUUCCCAUGGUCUUUCAUGCUGCCUACUCAGAUGUCAGUCAGGGUCAUUUUUGGUUAAAUAUAUUGUUAGAGUUUCUUACAGGCAUUUCAGAAGUUCCUGGAAUUGUAUGAAUGCAGGAUUGUGAGUGUGUAUGGACACAUCCAUUUUUCUGCAGACAGGAUGAAGAAAUGUCAAGGGUCAUUGCCCUAGGGGGAAGGCCAGCCAGUAUUACUCAAUUCAGAUGAGUAGACUUACACCCCUGCUGAACUAUAGGUAGGGAGGAUCCUAACUCGGGGAGCCUGGAGGGAACUUUGGGUGUCCUAAAGCAGCCCCUAGAGUAGUGAGUUUCAGCCCAUGUGCCCUGGCACAGUGUGCCAUGAGAGGAUCUUAGAGGUACCAUGAAAAAAAUUAAAGAUCAUUAAUUAAAUUAUUUUGGAAAAAACCUCAAAGCAUAGUAAGUGUAUAAUUUAUGCCAUGGAAGUUUAUAGGUUCACGUGUGCCGUGAUACGAAAAAGGUUGCAAACCACUGCCCUAGGGAAUAGCAGCCUGUCCUAAGGUGAGGGGUGGACCUUCUCAUUACUCUCCCACAGCAGUGAUUAGUGUAGGGCAGCUUGUUCUCCCAGACCAGCCACAGGAACUAGACUUGGCCUGGGAGGCGUUGCCCUCUGCUGGGAGGUGGGUCCAGCCUCAUGCUUGUGGAAUGCGGUGAGAAGAGCCCAUGAGACAUGAGGCACAGGAGUGAUGGAUUUGGGGGUCUGCCCCCUCCCACUGCCACAUCCACUCUGAGGAUCCGCCGGCCUGCUGCUUCACCGGCACCCUCACACCUGCUGAGCACAGCUUACCCUGGAGCUCCCAGCUUGGAAUCCGCCUUCUUGUCACCUAGGAGUGUUCCUAGGCUGACAGGAACCUGAGGACAGGCUGUCCCACACAGUGCAGGUGCGUGCAAUGGAGCGAGCCCAAGGGCUGUGUGGGUGCAGCUGCCUCCAUGCCAGAGAGGUGGUCAGACUGGGGAGGGAAGAACCGGCUUCCUUCUGGCGGUCACCUUUACCCAAGCAGAACCAUACUAUCCACUCUGCGCCUCUUACCCCCGGACAGCGCUCCCUCUUCCUGUGUCUCCAUGGCCUCUGCGGGGCAAGGUGCCCCAGGCAGCACCAGUUCCCACCACUCCACUCCACACUGACCCAGUGCACACAGACCAUCCCCCUCCUGCUGUGUGUCUAGGUUCCCAGCCCCCCACCUGCUUUAGGGGCCCCGUGCCCCUUCCUGUCCUCUACCACCUGUCUCAGGAAGGCAACUCCAGCUCUGCUCUUUGCUUAGUGAGCAAGUGGAUUCAGAUGCACAGAGCCAUAAGCUAUGGAUGCGCUGGCUCCCUCCCUCAGAGGCUACUUCUCAGGGCUGGAAGUCCCGUCAGUUCUGCUGAAUACUAUGCUUGAAAAAACCAUGCCCAGUUUUGAUCCCUUCAAGACUUUGCCACAGCCUCUAUCACACAUCUGUUUUCCUUGAAGAAAAAAAUAUAAUAAAAAUGUUUUACUCUUUUACACUGUA